rnacentral:rRNA from 1 species
GACGAACGCUGGCGGCGUGCCUAACACAUGCAAGUCGAGCGAGGAAUUCACCUUCGGGUGAUGAACUAGCGGCGGACGGGUGAGUAACACGUGGGCAACCUACCUCAUAGAGGGGAAUAGCCUUCCGAAAGGAAGAUUAAUACCGCAUAAGAUUGCAGUAUCGCAUGAUACAGCAAUUAAAGGAGCAAUCCGCUAUGAGAUGGGCCCGCGGCGCAUUAGCUAGUUGGUGAGGUAACGGCUCACCAAGGCGACGAUGCGUAGCCGACCUGAGAGGGUGAUCGGCCACAUUGGGACUGAGACACGGCCCAGACUCCUACGGGAGGCAGCAGUGGGGAAUAUUGCACAAUGGGGGAAACCCUGAUGCAGCAACGCCGCGUGAGUGAUGACGGUCUUCGGAUUGUAAAGCUCUGUCUUCGGGGACGAUAAUGACGGUACCCGAGGAGGAAGCCACGGCUAACUACGUGCCAGCAGCCGCAGUAACAC